GAAUAAUGAUCCCAGAGACUUACACAUUAGGAUUUGUGGUCCAUGGAGCAGGAUAUGGAUCACUUUUGGGGAUAGCCUGCAUCACUCUCUUGGGGUUUUGUAUCCUCUUCUUAAGAGUGCCAAAAGGUGAAAGUUAGAAUUCAGAACCAACUCGCCAUAUGGUAGGCUCACCCAGUCAAUAUGAUAAGGAGCCUGAUAGAAUUGGGUUUCACAUAGUUUUCAUUGCCCACUAUGAAAUUUUAUGACUUCAUUAUGUUCUUAUGUUAUUUUAAUAAAGGGGCCCUAAUUUUAUCCCAUUCUCUGUGUGUGUUCCUUGACUAUUUGCAGUCUGCUAAUGCAUAAUAUCUAAUUGACCUUUGUAAAUCUCAGUGUGAACCUCAUUGCAGCAUAAAGUUUAAACAUUAUCAACAUGUCCUCGCCAUGAUUUUUGCCAUUAAUGAGAUCAACAAUAACCCACGGCUGUUGCCCAAUAUCACACUGGGGUUCCAUAUCUUUGACAACCUAUAUAACUCAAGAAGAACGUACGAGGCCACCCUAGAUCUACUUUUCAAGCAGAAAAAUAAUAUACCAAAUUACAAGUGUGGUAGGAAAGAUGUAUUUUCUGUUACUGGAGGACUCACUUCAGAAUACUCCAUGCAGAUGGCCUCCAUCUUAAGUAACUUCAAAAUUCCACAGGUAUGUGCAUGCUUGCUGUUCAGUUAUACCCUCUCAAUUUUUCAUUCUUUGGAAAAAAAAGAUAUAGGAAAAAUGUAAUUGGUUCACAUAAGUGCUGAUUAUUAAUAGUUUGGGAAGCUCAAUGUGUUUGUGAAGAAUGUGAAGAAUGUGAAGAAACUGCAUUUUCUUCUUUAGGAACAACCUGAAGAUAAAUAAAGAAUGCAAAAUAUAUACCAAUUACUGUAAAAGUUUGUAGAAUAGUUUAUAUUUUCUUUCUAAUUGACAUAUAUAUAAUCAUAAUUUCAAAAGUAAACAUCAUUUUAAAAGGUAAACAUCAAUUUUUGAGCCAUGCACAUGGUACAUCUGCUGAAAUCCUGUACCUUCUUAUACCAAAAAUAUUCUGGAUUGUUCUAUCUCACUUUGACGGCAAUAAUGUAAUUACAUUUGAUAUAUCACAGAAAAAGUAAUUAAGCAGAAUUAAUCUACUACCAACACACUGUUUUUGUUUCAAGACCACAUUGCAGAUUACACCCACAAGAAAACACUGGUUUGCAAGAGCCCUAGGCUUACUUUUAUAUACUAGGUGCUAGUUUAGCAGAGACAGGUGUUGUAAAUCUUUAUUUAGCAAAGCUAUUGAUCAACUUUUGAAAUGAAGUAUGUAGAACAUUAAAAGAAUUUUUUUUUUCAUUCAGCAUUUCCGAGGGAACUAAAAAAAGGGGGAUCCUUGCACAUUUGUGAAAAUUGGUGUAUUAAUGUUGGAGACAUUUCCUAUUCUUACAGAUAUCAUUGUUUUGUUCACAGAUUGUACACACAUUGAAAAUUAAAUGUGAAUAACAGUAAGUGUAUAGCUCAACUAUUGUGUAAACAAAUUCACAAAUUGUAUACUUUUUGAAUGUCAUGUGUGAACAUAGUCAUCACCUGGAUGGGGUCCUUUGGUUGCAGAUGCUUAUAAAGGCAGGUUUUUAAAAAAAAAAUCUUGAGUUUUAAAAGAAAACAUAUGUUUGCUCAUUUGUUAGAUCACCUUUGACUCAUUUGAAGCUACAGUGAAUGAUAAAAGUGAUUUCCCUUUUUCAUACUGGACAGCACCAAGAGAAACCAUACAUCAUGUUGGUAUCAUCCAGCUACUCCUGCAUUUUAGAUGGACAUGGGUUGGCC